rnacentral:rRNA from 1 species
AUAUUGGACAAUGGGCGAAAGCCUGAUCCAGCCAUGCCGCGCGUGUGAAGAAGGUCUUCGGAUUGUAAAGCACUUUAAGUUGGGAGGCAGGGCAGUAAGUUAAUACCUUGCUGUUUUGACGUUACCGACAGCAUAAGCACCGGCUAACUGCGUGCCAGCAGCCGCGGUAAUACGACAGGUACAAGCGUUAAUCGGAAUUACUGGGCGUAAAGCACGCGUAGGUUGUUUGUUAAGUUGGAAGUGAAAGCCCCGGGCUUAACCUGGGAAUUGCUUUCAAAACUGACGAGCUAGAGUACGGUAGAGGGUAGUGGAAUUUCCUGUGUAGCGGUGAAAUGCGUAGAUAUAGGAAGGAACAUCAGUGGCGAAGGCGACUACCUGGACUGAUACUGACACUGAGGUGCGAAAGCGUGGGGAGCAAACAGG